rnacentral:tRNA from 1 species
GUCUCCGUAGCUCAGCUGGAUAGAGCGCGCCCCUCCUAAGGGCGAGGUCGCAGGUUCGACUCCCGCCGGGGACACCA